GGAUAGGUCUGGGUAGUUGGAUAGGUCUGGAUAGUUGGAUAGGUCUGGGUAGUUGGAUAGGUCUGGGUAGUUGGAUAGGUCUGGGUAGUUGGAUAGGUCUGGAUAGUUGGAUAGGUCUGGAUAGUUGCAUAGGGCUGGAUAGUUGGAUAGGUCUGGAUAGUUGGGUAGGGCUGGAUAGUUGGGUAGGUCUGGAUAGUUGGGUAGGUCUGGAUAGUUGGAUAGGUCUGGAUAGUUGCAUAGGGCUGGAUAGUUGGAUAGGUCUGGAUAGUUGGAUAGGUCUGGAAAGGUCUGGAUAGUUGGAUAGGUCUGGAUAGUUGGAUAGGUCUGAAUAGUUGGAUAGGUCUGAAUAGUUGGAUAGGUCUCGAUAGUUGGAUAGGUCUGGAUAGAUAGAUAGGUCUGGAUAUGUCUGGAUAGUUGGAUAGGUCUGGAUAGUUGGAUAGGGCUGGAUAGUUGGAUAGGGCUGGAUAGUUGGAUAGGUCUGGAUAGGUGGAUAGUUGGAUAGGUCUGGAUAGGUCUGGAUAGUUGGAUAGGUCUGGAUCGUUGGAUAGGUCUGGAUAGUUGGAUAGGUCUGGAUAGGUCUGGAUAGUUGGAUAGGGCUGGAUAGUUGGACAAGGCUGGAUAGUUGGACAAGGCUGGAUAGUUGGAUAGUUCUGGAUAAGGCUAGAUAGGGCUGGAUAGUUGGAUAGGUCUGGAUAGUUGAUAGUUGGAUAGGUCUGGAUAGUUGGAUAGGUCUGGAUAGUUGGAUAGGGCUGGAUAGUUGGACAGGGCUGGAUAGGGCUGGAUAGUUGGACAAGGCUGGAUAGUUGGACAGGGCUGGAUAGUUGGACAGGGCUGAAUAGUUGGAUAGGUCUGGAUAGUUGGAUAGGUCUGGAUAGGGCUGGAUAGUUGGAUAGGUCUGGAUAGUUGGAUAGGUCUGGAUAGGGCUGGAUAGUUGGAUAGGGCUGGAUAGUUGGAUAGGGCUGGAUAGUUGGAUAGGUCUGGAUAGGUGGAUAGGGCUGGAUAGUUGGAUAGUUC
ensembl:lncRNA